rnacentral:rRNA from 1 species
AUUGAACGCUGGCGGCAGGCCUAACACAUGCAAGUCGAACGAGGGGCGGACGGGUGAGUAAUGUCUGGGAAACCGUCUGAUGGAGGGGGAUAACUACUGGAAACGGUAGCAAAUACCGCAUACUAUCAGAUGCGCCCAGAUGGGUAUAGCUAGGUGGUGGGGUAACGGCUCACCAAGGCGACGAUCCCUAGCUGGUCUGAGAGGAUGACCGUCCACACUGGAACUGAGACACGGUCCAGACUCCUACGGGAGGCAGCAGUGGGGAAUAUUGCACAAUGGGCGCAAGCCUGAUGCAGCCAUGCCGCGUGUAUGAAGAAGGCCUUCGGGUUGUAAAGUACUUUCAGCGGGGAGGCGUUACCCGCAGAAGAAGCACCGGCUAACUCCGUGCCAGCAGCCGCGGUAAUUC